rnacentral:rRNA from 1 species
UACGAAGGGGGCGAGCGUUGUUCGGAAUUACUGGGCGUAAAGGGCGCGUAGGCGGCCUGCUAAGUCGAACGUGAAAUCCCUGGGCUCAACCCAGGAACUGCGUCCGAUACUGGUUGGCUUGAAUCCGGGAGAGGGACGUGGAAUUCCAGGUGUAGCGGUGAAAUGCGUAGAUAUCUGGAGGAACACCGGUGGCGAAGGCGACGUCCUGGACCGGUAUUGACGCUGAGGCGCGAAAGCCAGGGGAGCAAACGGG